UAAUUGAUUAAAUUGGCCUUUGAGACUCUAACACUGAGUGAUUCAUUAUCUGUUCUCUGUUUUUGCCACAGACGCCAGAUCCCACCAAAAUCCAUCUCCAGUCAGCGUGCAGGUUCAAAUGAAAAUUUAAGCAAAACUCCUGACGUGUGCAAAUCCAGCCUUUAUGGUAAGAAAGCGAAGGAUGAGGAUCCUAACGCCAUCUCCAGGGAGCUGCCGGAGAUUCCUACAGAGAAGAGCUGUACAUCACUGUGAAUAG
rnacentral:lncRNA from 1 species